rnacentral:rRNA from 1 species
GGAACCGGGAGAGGUAAGAGGUACUACAGGGGUAGGAGUGAAAUCUGUAAUCCCUGUGGGACCACCUGUGGCGAAGGCGUCUUACCAGAACGGGUUCGACGGUGAGGGACGAAAGCUGGGGGGCACGAACCGGAUUAGAUACCCGGGUAGUCCCAGCCGUAAACGAUGCUCGCUAGGUGUCAGGCAUGGCGCGACCGUGUCUGGUGCCGCAGGGGAAGCCGUGAAGCGAGCCACCUGGGAAGUACGGCCGCAAGGCUGAAACUUAAAGGAAUUGGCGGGGGAGCACAACAACGGGUGGAGCCCUGCGGUUUAAUUGGACUCAACGCCGGACAACUCACCGGGGGGCGACAGCAAUAUGUAGGCCAAGCUGAAGACUUUGCCUGAAUCGCUGAGGAGAGGUGCAUGG